GUUUGAUUUGGCUAUAAAUAAAAAUUAGCUAUUACAGGGAUGGAUAUAAGUACGGGGAUAAGAAAAAUAGCAUUUGGAUGAAAGUUGGGUUGUUUCUGGAGAUAAAAAAAGUAGCAUUUGGAUAGAUAAUAUGGAAUAAGAAAAAUAGUGGAUAGUUAUAUAUAGAAAAUGGAGGUAUUGGUGGGAAUAGUUAUACUCGAUUAUUAUAGAUAACCGAGAACUACUAUUCUCGAAUUAAAAAUUAGCGUUUAUACGAACUCGGUUAUUAUAGGUAACUGAGAACUACUAUUCUCGAAUAAAAAAUUAGCGUUUAUAUGAACUCGGUUAUUAUAGGUAACUGAGAACUACUAUUCUCGAAUAAAAAAUUAGCGUUUGCGUAUAAAGGGGGAUAAGGGGUUAUUCCACCCCUUAUCCCCAAUCCAAACGCUACCUUAAGUUGUUUUCAACUAGUAUCUAUUUCGUUAGAUUUGACCUAUAUUAUUAAAAAUAUUUAAAAAUCAAAUUUUAUACUUUUUUAGUAUUAUUUAUCUAUCAAAUAAGUUUAUUUUAAAAAUAAACACUUGAAAAAAAAUCUAGAGUUAAAUUUAAGAUCAGAGAUACUGAUCUUACUCUAAAGAGUAAAAAAAAAUUCUAUAAAAAUUUAGCAAGAAUUAUUUUAAUUGUUAAAAUCACAAAUGUAUAACAUUGACCAUUAAAAUUAUUAAUUUUGAGACUUUUUGAUCACUAGUCAAAUAAUAUCGAAAAAUUUUGAAAUCAAGCGAAAGUUAAAGAAUUAAAAUGAAGUUUAAAAGACAAAUUUAUAUUUAAAAUUUAAAUUUGUAGUUGGAAUAUUGUCACGCCCCGGAUUAUAUAGUUCCCGGGCACGCCAACAAACCCGUCGUAUACGAAAACAAAUUUUUCUGUACACGAAGCGAAAUUGUACUGAAACUGUAAUCAAACAACACUACAACCAGUAGUAUAGAGCUGCUAGAAAAAAUAAACAGGUAAAACUGAAAGCAAGUUCCAUAUACAUACAUAAUAUCCAGGUACAAAAGUACUCGCUCAAGCGAGUUAUAGCAUCUGUAUGUACAUGAACUCAAAAAUAAAAGCACCACUACCUGCUGAAGAUGAUCCUCUAUCUCGGCGACUCAUCUGGUAGGGCUCUACUCACAACGUCCUUGCCACGGCCGGUCUAGGAGGAUGCAGCAACCGGAACCGAAGGCUCUGCAAAAAAAGGGUAACAACAGGGCGUGAAAACUACUGUAAAAAUAAGUAGUCUUCAGUGGGUAUUGCCCUCAACAUCAUCGGUCCACCCACCAAGGCUACAGAAGGGAGCAAAGAUAGUAGGAAAAGCUGGAAGAAAACUACAGCUAAAAGCCCUAUACUAUCAUGCUCUACUCUAAUCAACUAUAAUAACUGACCCAAUCUCAUUGGGGACUGUAAACAUACCCAUCCCUGGCACUUUGAACACACCCGUCCCGCCCUGUUGUGACUAUACAGCUAUCUCCACACUAAGCGGUCAGUGGAGAGCAAGUUCAACUUGCACGAACGACACCAACGCGGAAGCACAACGCCUGUCUCCGGAGUGGCACUCGUGGGAGCUACCUAACCGAGU
rnacentral:lncRNA from 1 species